GGUCACCAUCAGAUGAGGAUUAUUGGGGAUGUUUAUUAUUAACCCUUACUGACGCAGUAUACAUGUAUGUCCAGUGCCAGCUAAUGACGGUCAUCAACACGAAUCCAGUAGAUCCUGCGAUCAAAAUAAUCUCGGGGUCCCGAUCAGCUGACACAACCGCUAGAGAGGUUCCUAUAAGGUGUCAGGACGUGGCGGUCUAUUUCUCCAUGGAGGAGUGGGAGUAUGUAGAAGGACACAAGGAUCAGGUCAUGAUGGAGGAUCAGCAGCCCCUCACAUCACCAGAUCCAGUAAGAGAACAGC